rnacentral:rRNA from 1 species
UACAGAGGGUGCGAGCGUUGUCCGGAAUCACUGGGCGUAAAGGGCGCGUAGGCGGUGGCUUAAGCGUGCGGUGAAAGCCCGGGGCUCAACCCCGGGUCGGCCGUGCGAACUGGGCCACUGGAGCAGAUCAGAGGCAGGCGGAAUUCCGGGUGUAGCGGUGGAAUGCGUAGAGAUCCGGAAGAACACCGGUGGCGAAGGCGGCCUGCUGGGAUCUUGCUGACGCUGAGGCGCGACAGCGUGGGGAGCAAACAGG